rnacentral:lncRNA from 1 species
CUUGUCUAAAUAGUACAUGAUUACCUCAGUUAGUUUUGUGGCUGUGGUAAUGUUCGUUUUAUGAGCUCAAUCUGGUUCUGAGCCAUCUGAACUUCAAAUUCCAGAUGCCUUAUCCCUACUGCUAACAUCUAAUAUACUGUGUACACAUGUGUACAAUGCAGGCUGUAUUGGAAAUACUCGGUUGUGCUCUCAAAGUCACACUGUGCUCUUCUUAAAACCAUAUUUGCAAGCCUUGAAGGAAAAGCACAAAAGAACUACCUUUUCAAUGAAUAUUGGUGGUUCUGAACUAUGGAGAGUGGGAAAAGACGAAGAAGGUCUGCGCUGGAAGAUGCCAGUGGGAUUUAGGACCCUACAUAUACAGGCUUAUCAUCAAUGACUAAUUAGCUGGGAAGGACCAUUCAGCAGCUAACAAGGCACCACUAGGAAAGGUGAAGGCCACCCACCCAAGACUUAAACUAGCCAUGGAAGUGUUGUGAAUAACCCUUUCUGAUGGACUGUAGCGGAAAGCUUGAUUCAGAUAUCUC